rnacentral:rRNA from 1 species
UACGUAGGGGGCAAGCGUUGUCCGGAUUUACUGGGCGUAAAGAGCGCGCAGGCGGUCGUUUAAGUCGAAUGUGAAAGCCCCCGGCUCAACUGGGGAGGGUCAUUCGAUACUGAUCAACUUGAAGGCAGGAGAGAGAAGUGGAAUUUCCGGUGGAGCGGUGAAAUGCAUUGAGAUCGGAAAGAACACCAACGGCGAAAGCACUCUGCUGGGCCGACACUGACACUGAGAGACGAAAGCUAGGGGAGCAAAUGGG